rnacentral:rRNA from 1 species
GACAGAGGGUGCAAACGUUGUUCGGAAUUACUGGGCGUAAAGCGUGUGUAGGCGGUUUGCUAAGUCGGGUGUGAAAGCCCCGGGCUCAACCCGGGAAGUGCACUCGAAACUGGCAGGCUAGAGUACUGGAGAGGUUGGUGGAAUUCUCGGUGUAGAGGUGAAAUUCGUAGAUAUCGAGAGGAACAUCGGUGGCGAAGGCGGCCUUCUGGACGGUGACUGACGCUGAGACGCGAAAGCGUGGGGAGCAAACAGG